rnacentral:lncRNA from 1 species
CCUUGGAGGGCUGGGCGGCACAGGGCACGUGUUCCUGCACAGCCCGUUCCUGGGAGGCGGCUGCCCCCAUGGUAGAUGUGGACGAGCUCUGCUCCUCCCCAAGCCGGGUUACACGUGGCCAGCUUGCUGUCCUGGCUCCCUAUCUGUGGAGCGGACAGAGGCUGGAGGAGAAGGAAGGGGUCCAGGAAGGGAGUGUGCGGCCACCCUGGGGAGGGGCCAGGAGCAUCAGGGGAGGGCCAACAGCACGAACUGUAGUUUUCAGUGGUGGAUGGGCUUGGGGGUAAUAUUUCUUUGAGGCAACAUCUCAUUACAUUGUUCUUUCCUAUCCUUAGAAGCCCCCAGCCCCCACCCCCACAUGGAAAACAAGAACCUGAGAGGACUAACGGCUGGGCUCCAGAGAGACCUGGGGCGGCAGGAGGAAGAGAAAGAUGAAUUCCAAAAGUCCCCCCUGCCAGAGUCAGAACACAGUGGAAACGGCAGAAACGGGGGCUCUCCUUGGGUGCGAGAAGGAGGCCCUGCACUUCCUGGCACAGCUGCCCGGUGGGCGCCCAGCAGAGCCUCCACCAGGAGGCCAGCGCCGCCAGCAGAGCGUGCCACGCUCAGGGCCGCACUGCAGAACACGCACGUCCGCUGCGGGGUACAGAUCAGACUGGCAGAGCUUCGCCUCAGGGGAAAGAGGAAAAGCCAGGGGCUGUGGCAACAGUUUAAGGAAGCGGUGACAGCCCUUAAAACCAGGUGGGAUGCAGUGGGAAGGGAGAGAAGCGGGUGGACGUCAGAUAUGUUCGGGAGGCCAAACCGACGUCCUUAGUGAGCAGGUGUUGAAGACACAGGCCAGAAGGGAGCCCGGGUAGAGAUAGACACGCAAUGCGCCAAGGAGAUGAAGACAGGGAGCUCUGGGCGAAGGCGCCGCGUCCGAGUGCAUUUUCUUCAGUGUCUCCCAGGGCAGGCGGCUCGCUCUGAAGGCCUCAAUUCCUCCCUCUCUCACAGCCUCACCCCAGGCCACAUGACACACUUGGGCUCUGGGCUCAGAGGAUGUGGGCCAGUGUAACACAACAGACGUCUCAGAGGGGCUCCUGCAACCUGGCCAGCGCCCCUGCAACUGCCGUGAGAACAUGCUGGAGCUGGCCUGCUGGAGUGUGAGAAAACAAGCAGAGAGCUGAGGCACCCCACUCUUUGUGGGUCAGCCCAGAGCCGGCUGACCUGCCGACCUGAACGAGCCAGGAGAGGUGGAUUCCGUGCCACUGAAUCUCGGGUGGUGAGGCCCAGGGACCUGGGGCUGAGCACACCCACUGGUGAUUCCAAUGCGUGCUAACCGCUGAGGAGCACCGGCCUAGAUGACCAGCAGCUGCUGCUGAUGCCUGCCGGACUCCAGUGGGGCCAGAAGAACUGAGGCUUGAGCCUGGUCCAGCUUGGCAGGACCCUGCAGGUUUGUGAGCUGAGAGACGGUUGCUGCUUGCUACUGAGGACUUGCUGUUGUUACACCCCAGUAUUGUGCAAUGGACGACUGAUACACUUGCCCACACUCCCUCCUUCCUGAGAGUAGACGGAUUCCCAGGGCUAAAGCAAGAAAAAGGCAGAGCAAAUAAGGAAACUCGGUGCUCCAUCCCGCUCCCUUCCUUCCAGGAGACAUUGUGAGGGACAGAAGAACCUCCUGGAAGCAGGACCAGCUGAGAGGAAAGACCAAAAGGCAGUGUCUCUGGUGGCUCCUUAAAGAUGAGGCUGAGCCACAUGUCGAAGCCACAGCCACAGGCUCAGGACUUCCCUCAGCUCUUCAGUGCCUACUCUCAACUGGGAGCCCACAGCCAGCCUCCCGGGGCUCCUGAGGGAGGCCUGCAGCACACAGCACAGGGACCGAAGGAAAACUCGACCAACGCAGAGAAGUUAUUACGUCAGACACCUCACAGAUAAAGAACAAAAGAAAAACUGCAAGAUGAAAUGUGGAGGACAAAGGCAAUGUGAAGAGAAAACCCCAGAAAACUAAUUAAUAUCCUCAGAGAUAAGAUUAAGCAGCUGUGGGGGGAAGGGAGCGCCCCAGAUGCUGAGGAAGGAGGGAGGAUGAACAAGAUUGGCUCCGGCCAGGAGACAAGACGGAGCCCACCUCCACAGACGAAAGCUGCUCGCUGCCUGCAGCAGCCCGGGAACCCACGCACCCCGCACGCUCCCAGAAGGUUCCUCUUCAGUGCUGACAUGCUCUCCAAGAAGAAGCCCGCGGUCCUGGGCAUUUGGAAAUCUGUUAGCACUGAAUUGUGCGAAGAGCAUUCAUAGACGUAUUUCCACUCCCUGCUGCCCCGUUAGUCUGGGCUCGUAGCUUUCCUGUUCCUCAGUCCUAGCUGCCUGUCCGCCCCGGGACAGCUGUAACCAACGGCCCUUCCAGGCCAGGGGACCUCCUUGGAGGACAACGACCAUGCCCAGAAGUCAUUCUCAAUCUCCUGUAUUGGGGGUCCUGCUUGCAUGUCCUGUGACCCAGCGCAGAGGCACAUUCAGCCUCUGACCAGGUGGACGUUGAUCCUGGGAAGUCCCUCUCUGGAAGACUCAGGAUGUAGACGCUGCCCCAGCCAUUUUUCUAAUUGAAAGCUUUAUUUGCUAGAAUGGAGCACUUCUGCAUGGUUUUAGGUCUACAUAGGUAUUACAAGGCACUCAGCGUGAACCUAGUAAGUUGCAAGCCAGAAAUAACAGAAUCUUUUUGGAAAAAUCUAAUAGAUUGUUCUUUAUUUUUUCGAAAAUUUUUUUAUUGUGGUAAAAUACACAUAAC